GGGCGGGCGGGCGGGCGGGGAGCCGUUAUUUACACGCUGGGAGGGAGGGAACCUUUUACACACGUCCUUGGGAGAGCGAGUUGUGGCGCGGGGGGUCGCCAGAGCCCCUUCAUCUGAGCCUGGAGGGGAGGAAGAGGCUCUUUUCUCCUCCCCACCACUGAGGCCAGGAUAGUCCCCGGUUUAUUCCUAUUCCAAAAGCUACGCUCAGCCGCCCACCCAGCCACCCCAGAUGAUGAAAUUCCUAUACGAAACUAGGGAUUUGAAUGCACCUUGUCACGUGGGAUGGCCUUGUCACGCGUGUUCUGUGUGGCACGUAGACAGGGCUUCCCCGUGUGUGGUGUCUUUUGGGUAAGGAUUUGACCACUUGGGAAGCAGGCCUAAGAGUAGUACCCAUUUCUUCAUUGAGGAACGCCUCAGAAGUUUCCAGGAAAGGGAUAAGACACUUCUCUUAAUGGUUUAAAGACAGGGUUUCUCAAAUUAGCGUCUCCAGCUGUUUUUGGACUACAACUCCCAUUAUUAUUAUUAUUAAAAUUUGUAGACCGCCCUUCAUCCAUAGAUCUCAGGGCAGUUCACAAUUUAAAGUAUUAGCACAAACAUGGUACAAAAGAAGACACCAGUGGUCAGGGAUGAUGGGAAUUGCUGUCCGAAAACAGCUGAAGACCCAAGUUUGGGAAACCCUGGUCUAAGAUAUAAGUCCUAGGAUAACUUGUGACACAGAAAAGCGAGUGGUGAGCAGUGACUACAUGGGAGAAGGGGUAAGGACAAAGUGAGGUUAGAAUCAACAUUUUUCAACUACCAUAGCCCCACCCCCCCCGAAAUAGUUUAUGGCCCGCUUCCACAUGAUACUAUAAAAACCAAAAGCAGUGUGCCUAUGAGGCAUUGUACUCCCUUGCCAUUGUUAUGUCCUUUGCCCCUGUGCAUAAAGUGAUAGUAUUUGAGUGCAGCACCGCCUGGUCUGUGGAACUGGUGUGCUAGCACCUGGUGCCCCAGGUUAUAUGAGGCACCAGAUACAUGUAACACCGGAUGGGUAAGUUCUUGGUCAUCUACCAACAUGUUUAAAUUGACAUACACACACCCUUGUUCCCCCUUACAGAGAAAAGGUGGAGCAAAGAACGGUAGCCAGUAACAGACCAUGACACCUCUUAGAGGAUAAAGUUCUCUCAUUUUCCCAUGUGGCAAAAUAUAUAGGAAAGUUCCAAUAACAAAAUUUUGAAAUGGAGACAUUAACAAAUCAUCUUUUCCCACAAACCUGGCUGAAAGUUCAUGUGUGCAGCACUUUGGAGCCAGUAUGAAGGUAAAUCUUAGCCAUUGAAAAAGAUUGGGGCAGAGGUAAUCUUUGGUAAUCCCGAGUUUGUUGCCCUGAACUACCAUUUAUAGUAUUUUCCAUCUCUUGUCCUGUAUAAACUUUUAAUAUUUAAUUUUCACAUUUCAGGGCAUAAAUUAACUACUGAAGGAUCUAAUACAGGUGACAAGGUGCAAAAUACAAAACUUAAAUCUGUUCAUGCAGAAGAUCUAAACAUACUUUGAAAGAAGUCCUGUUGAGUUCAGUGAGAUUGUGUACCCUCUAAAAAGAUGAGAGAUGAGCUGAUGAGCGAUUAGAAAAGAUGUGGAGAAUUAUCUGAGAGAAAAGACACUGUACACAACAACACACCUGAGGAUGUUGGAAACCAGGGAGCCUAGAUAUAAGGCUUAGCUAACCAGAGAAAAAGAAACAAUGCAAUAUGAUGCAUGCUUACUCGGAAGUAAAGUCUCACUUCAUUCAGCAGAUCUUACCGCAGAAAAAGGUGCAUAAAAUCACAGCCAAGCAGUGCAGUGCUCUGCGUGUUCAGUCCCCCACUGUGUUCUGUUACUUCUGAGUAAUGUGCUUAGGGAUUGCAACUCAAGAAACUUUAAGGAAGGGCUGAGGCUAAGAAUCUAGAAAUGCAUUGAAAAACACACUUUUGUGGCACCAGCUCGAUCCAUAGCAUUUAAUGGUUAACUUUGACUUUAAGUUUCACUUUAUUGAGGUCAAUGGGAUUUGUAUCUGUGGGGCAGCUAUUAAACCACACCACAGCUGUUCCAAGUCCACAGAGUGCUAAAGCUCACAUGCCUUAAACAUUCAGAGAAACAAAGCCUGAGUAAGCUGUCCAGUUAAUAUAGAGUGAAGGUUGAGAAAGGAGAAUGGUGGUUCUAUAUGACUACUACAAAAUGUUCACUGCCGCUAUUAAUGGUGAUGUCUAAUGCUGUACUCUUUUUUUUGUAAAUAUAUUUACCGUAGUCACAAAUUCUGAACUGCUUGCUGAUUUAAUGCCUGUGUUUUAAUAUAGGUCUGUAUAGGCUUAGAUUAAAAUCAAAGCAAAAGAGCUUUGCCAAUUGCAUGCUGAAAAGAGUAUCAGAUUAUUUCAGCUGUUUAAUCUCUCCUCCACUGAUCUGCACUGGGCUUGCUUCAAAUAAAAAUAACUUUAUACCACUGGCUAAAUUCAAGGUGAAAUACUGUAUAGCACUAACUUCUUUUGCAAAUAAAGAUCAAUUGUGGAAGGA